UACAGAGGUCUCAAGCGUUGUUCGGAUUCAUUGGGCGUAAAGGGUGCGUAGGUGGCGCCGUAAGUCGGAUGUGAAAUUUCGGAGCUUAGCUCCGAAACUGCAUUCGAUACUGCGGUGCUUGAGGACUGGAGAGGAGACUGGAAUUCAUGGUGUAGCAGUGAAAUGCGUAGAGAUCAUGAGGAAGACCAGUGGCGAAGGCGGGUCUCUGGACAGUUCCUGACACUGAGACACGAAGGCCAGGGGAGCAAACGGG
rnacentral:rRNA from 1 species